UGGGGAAUUUUGGACAAUGGGCGAAAGCCUGAUCCAGCAAUGCCGCGUGUGUGAAGAAGGCCUUCGGGUUGUAAAGCACUUUUGUCCGGAAAGAAAUCCUUGGCUCUAAUACAGUCGGGGGAUGACGGUACCGGAAGAAUAAGCACCGGCUAACUACGUGCCAGCAGCCGCGGUAAUACGUAGGGUGCAAGCGUUAAUCGGAAUUACUGGGCGUAAAGCGUGCGCAGGCGGUUUGCUAAGACCGAUGUGAAAUCCCCGGGCUCAACCUGGGAACUGCAUUGGUGACUGGCAGGCUAGAGUAUGGCAGAGGGGGGUAGAACUCCACGUGUAGCAGUGAAAUGCGUAGAGAUGUGGAGGAAUACCGAUGGCGAAGGCAGCCCCCUGGGCCAAUACUGACGCUCAUGCACGAAAGCGUGGGGAGCAAACAGGAUUAGAUACCCUGGUAGUCCACGCCCUAAACGAUGUCAACUAGUUGUUGGGGAUUCAUUCCUUAGUAACGUAGCUAACGCGUGAAGUUGACCGCCUGGGGAGUACGGUCGCAAGAUUAAAACUCAAAUGAAUUGACGGGGUCAUAGCUGUUUCCU
rnacentral:rRNA from 1 species